UGGGGAAUCUUGCACAAUGGGGGAAACCCUGAUGCAGCGACGCCGCGUGAGCGAUGAAGCCUUUCGGGGUGUAAAGCUCUUACGCCAGGGACGAUGAUGACGGUACCUGGAGAAGCAGCUGCGGCUAACUACGUGCCAGCAGCCGCGGUAAUACGUAGGCAGCAAGCGUUGUUCGGACUUACUGGGCGUAAAGCGGUCGUAGGCGGUUGGCUAAGUUUGGUGUGAAAACUCCCGGCUCAACUGGGAGGG
rnacentral:rRNA from 1 species